rnacentral:rRNA from 1 species
AUUGAACGCUGGCGGCAGGCCUAACACAUGCAAGUCGAACGAGUGGCGGACGGGUGAGUAAUGUCUGGGAAACUGCCCGAUGGAGGGGGAUAACUACUGGAAACGGUAGCUAAUACCGCAUACCAUCGGAUGUGCCCAGAUGGGAUUAGCUAGUAGGGGGGGGAACGGCUCACCUAGGCGACGAUCCCUAGCUGGUCUGAGAUGAAGACCAGCCACACUGGAACUGAGACACGGUCCAGACUCCUACGGGAGGCAGCAGUGGGGAAUAUUGCACAAUGGGCGCGAGCCUGAUGCAGCUAUUCCGCGUGUAUGAAGAAGGCCUUCAGGUUGUAAAGUACUUUCAGCGAGGAGGCGUUACUCGCAGAAGAAGCACCGGCUAACUCCGUGCCAGCCGCCGCGGUAAUUC